rnacentral:ncRNA from 1 species
UGACGGAGAAGGAUAGUCUUACCACUUACUGGAUUGUGGGGUAAGUAUCAACUGGGCGUUGUAGGCAAAUCCGCAGCGCUUAACCGGGAGAUGCGAUGCAUAGUGAAAGGGUAACCAAGUAGCAAAUUAGAUGAUUUCAUGCUUCUUAAAAAAGCUUCUAACUACAAAUUUUAUGAACCCGUACCGAGAACGAACACACGUCCCCAAGAUGAGUAUUCUAAGGCGAGCGAGACAACCAAU